AGCGAACGCUGGCGGCGUGGAUUAGGCAUGCAUGUCGAGCGAGAAACGGGGGCAACCCCGGAGUAAAGCGGCACACGGGUGAGGAAUGCGUGGACAACUUGCCUUCGAGCCUGGGAUAACGGCGGGAAACUGCCGCUAAUACCGGAUGGCCUCGACGCGUGGCAUCACGUGACGAGUAAAGGUGGGGACCGUAAGGCCUGCCGCUUGGAGAGAGGUUCACGUCCUAUCAGCUAGUUGGUGAGGUAACGGCUCACCAAGGCUUCGACGGGUAGGCGAGCUGAGAGGCUGACCGCCCACACUGGGACUGAGACACUGCCCAGACUCCUACGGGAGGCUGCAGUCGAGAAUCUUCCGCAAUGGACGCAAGUCUGACGGAGCGACGCCGCGUGCGGGAUGAAGGCCCUUGGGUUGUAAACCGCUGUCAGGGGGGAUGAAAGCGCAAGCUUGACAGAGCCCCAGAGGAAGCACGGGCUAAGUUCGUGCCAGCAGCCG
rnacentral:rRNA from 1 species